UAGGCCAAUCAAAAAGGUUCUUUAUUAUAAACCAAACUAUGAGGGGACACGAACAACAGGUAUAGGCCAAUCAAAAAGGUUAUUUAUUGUAAACCAAACUAUGAGGGGACACGAACAACAGGUAUAGGCCAAUCAAAAAGGUUCUUCAUUGUAAACCAAACUAUGAGGGGACACGAACAACAGGUAUAGGCCAAUCAAAAAGGUUCUUCAUUGUAAACCAAACUAUGAGGGGACACGAACAACAGGUAUAGGCCAAUCAAAAAGGUUCUUUAUUAUAAACCAAACUAUGAGGGGACACGAACAACAGGUAUAGGCCAAUCAAAAAGGUUCUUUAUUAUAAACCAAACUAUGAGGGGACACGAACAACAGGUAUAGGCCAAUCAAAA